rnacentral:rRNA from 1 species
UGCCUUACACAUGCAAGUCGAACGGCAGCACGGGGCAACCUGGUGGCGAGUGGCGAACGGGUGAGUAAUGUAUCGGAACGUGCCCAGUCGUGGGGGAUAACGUAGUGAAAAUUACGCUAAUACCGCAUACGAUCUAUGGAUGAAAGCGGGGGAUCGCAAGACCUCGCGCGAUUGGAGCGGCCGAUAUCAGAUUAGGCAGUUGGUGGGGUAAAGGCUCACCAAGCCAACGAUCUGUAGCUGGUCUGAGAGGACGACCAGCCACACUGGAACUGAGACACGGUCCAGACUCCUACGGGAGGCAGCAGUGGGGAAUUUUGGACAAUGGGCGAAAGCCUGAUCCAGCCAUUCCGCGUGCAGGAUGAAGGCCUUCGGGUUGUAAACUGC